rnacentral:rRNA from 1 species
GGGAGCGUGCCCUUCAGUUCGGAACAACCCAGGGAAACUUGGGCUAAUACCGGAUACGUCCGUAAGGAGAAAGAUUUAUCGCUGAAGGAUCGGCCCGCGUCUGAUUAGCUAGUUGGUGGGGUAACGGCCCACCAAGGCGACGAUCAGUAGCUGGUCUGAGAGGAUGAUCAGCCACACUGGGACUGAGACACGGCCCAGACUCCUACGGGAGGCAGCAGUGGG